UCCAUGUGCUCCUAUCUCGACCACGGGUAUUCUUGGGUUGAUAAUACGGAUGUCGAUGUUAUUGCUUGAGAAUACGCGUAGCUGAGUGGAAGCCAUCGUCGGCCCCUGACCCCUGACCUCUGACCUCUCCACCCGGAGAAACCAGUCUUCCCCGGUGAUUUGUGGGUAAACAAGCCUGAAGGCGCGCCGUCACCCUGAUAGAACCCAAGCUGGCAUCAGGGUAAGAGUUAAAUGAUUAUUUGUUGUUUGUUUUUGCUUCGGCGGCAGACGCUGAUGGAGCGCGGAUGUUAAAAGGGGACGGUGCCGUUUCAGCCGCUCGCCGCCGCUGUGAAUUACCUCCCGUAGCAGGAAGCUCGCCACCGCCGAGAAGAUGAGGACCUGGCCCCAUUACUCCCCCGGAUCAUGUCUGUGCGUCCCGUUGCCCUGAAGAGGACCCCAUUCCCCCGGGCUGCCAGGGGGCCAGCAGGCAGACGGCUGGGCCAACAGACCAUACAGUACAUCUUCUGACAGCAAGACAGGGCCUGAAUUGUCCGUUAGGUAGGAUCAGUCAUCUAUUCACUCUAGCUCAACAAGCUUAUUUUUCAGAUGACUAAACAGAUGUAUUCUUCCACUGCAGGUGUACUGUAUUGAACGAGUCUCUGUAAAAAUUGCUGACUUUGGGCAAAAUUAAAGAAAAACUAACUUAA